rnacentral:pre_miRNA from 1 species
UAUAUAAUAUCACUUUCUCUUUGGAAACACAGAGGUAUGUCUCUAAAUCUAAAUUGACACAUACAUCUGUGUUUCCAAAGAGAAAGUGAUAUUAUUUAGGUAUCU